CCUACGGGAGGCUGCAGUGAGGAAUAUUGGUCAAUGGACGAGAGUCUGAACCAGCCAAGUAGCGUGAAGGAUGACUGCCCUAUGGGUGGUAAACUUCGUUUAUAUGGGAAUAAAAUGUUCCACGUGUGGGAUUUUGUAUGUACCAUAUGAAUAAGGAUCGGCUAACUCCGUGCCAGCAGCCGCGGUAAUACGGAGGAUCCGAGCGUUAUCCGGAUUUAUUGGGUUUAAAGGGAGCGUAGGUGGGUUGUUAAGUCAGUUGUGAAAGUUUGCGGCUCAACCGUAAAAUUGCAGUUGAAACUGGCAGUCUUGAGUACAGUAGAGGUGGGCGGAAUUCGUGGUGUAGCGGUGAAAUGCUUAGAUAUCACGAAGAACUCCGAUUGCGAAGGCAGCUCACUGGACUGCAACUGACACUGAGGCUCGAAAGUGUGGGUAUCAAACAGGAUUAGAUACCCGUGUAGUC
rnacentral:rRNA from 1 species